rnacentral:siRNA from 1 species
AGAGUAAGGGUUGAGUUUGAAGC